rnacentral:rRNA from 1 species
CCUAACACAUGCAAGUNGAACGAGAAAGUUCCUUCGGGAGCAAUUAAAGUGGCGCACGGGUGAGUAACGCGUAGACAAUCUGCCCUUCAGUCUGGGACAACUUUUCGAAAGGAGAGCUAAUACCGGAUAACAAUGCAUGACACAAGUUGUAUAUUUGAAAGCUUUAUGUGCUGAAGGAGGGGUCUGCGUCCCAUUAGCUAGUUGGUAAGGUAAAGGCUUACCAAGGCAACGAUGGGUAGCGGGUUUGAGAGGACGAUCCGCCACACUGGAACUGAGACACGGUCCAGACUCCUACGGGAGGCAGCAGUGGGGAAUAUUGCACAAUGGAGGCAACUCUGAUGCAGCAAUGUCGCGUGAGUGAAGAAGGCCCUUGGGUCGUAAAGCUCUUUUAUGGGGGAAGAUGAUGACGGUACCCCAAGAAUAAGCACCGGCUAACUAUGUGCCAGCAGCCGCGGUAAUACAUAGGGUGCGAGCGUUGUUCGGAAUUACUGGGCGUAAAGGGCGCGCAGGCGGAAUAGUAAGUCGGAGGUGAAAGCCCGGGGCUCAACCCCGGAGGGUCUUUCGAAACUACUAAUCUAGAGAGGGUCAGGGGCCGGCAGAAUUCCUGGUGUAGAGGUGAAAUUCGUAGAUAUCAGGAGGAAUACCGGUGGCGAAGGCGGCCGGCUGGGGCCACUCUGACGCUGAGGCGCGAAAGCGUGGGGAGCAAACAGGAUUAGAUACCCUGGUAGUCCACGCCGUAAACGAUGAGCACUGGACGUCCGGAGGGUUCGACCCUUCUGGGUNUCUCAGC